AAGUAGCACUCCUUCGGGGCAGAACUUCUCACUCUAUGACACGUUUUACAUAAAGUGGCAGGCAUUGAAUGCAUAUAUAUAUAUAUAUAUAUAUAAAUAUAUAUAUAUACAUAUAAUAUUUACAAAGGAGAUACGGCAACGAAGCAGAAGGCAGUAAAUGAUUGGGGGGAAAGGCGUGUGUUAAUCAUCUCGAUCCAUGUCUCUUCUCUCUGUGUGAGAAAGCGUUAUAUUUGCAGGGGUUAAAUAAAAGCAUGAGGCUUUGAACCCGCCCGACGGCAGAGAAUGCGUGAACGCUCAAACCCUGACAGCAGAGAACGUGUGCAUGAUUUCAAGGAAAGGAAAAUGGAAAUGGAAAAUUUUUCAUUGUUAUAUAUAUAUGGUAAUAAAAAUAUAAAUGAUGGUAUCUAGAGCCAUAGCUUAGUGAAUGUGAAUCCUUCACAGAAUGUACCUAUAUCCUUCGAUAAAUCAUGUUAUGGUCUAGCUCAUUAUUUUUAUCUCAGUCGCUGCUGACUAUUUUACAUACGGUUCUGCCUGCAUCCUAUUGAGCAGUGAGAAGUGCAUGAACGAUGGCACCUACACACUUCUACUAAGAUCCGAUAUUCACACCAAGGCAGAGGCACCUCAUUCCUACUUUAAUGAAAAGAAAACCUAUAAGCCAAAUUUUCUCAAAGUUAAAGCAGUUAAUGCUUUGGUUAAUGCAUUUUUUAUGUUUGUGGGUUUCUUUAUUGUUACCGUAGUUUCUUCGACGUGAACUUUGAUCUAGUUUAAAAAGUUUAGAUCGACCUCUAUCUGUUUUGAGUCUGAUCAUUACCAUUUCUUUACAGUUUAGCGUGAUAACAUCCAUCUUAAUUAUUAUUACUCCUGAAGAGAGUAUUAAGCACAAUUGGAUAAAAGCAACAUUGAAAACAACAUGGAAAAGUUUAAGGCUCGUCCUCAUUAACAGAGAUGAAAAACGUUUAAUAUAUUGAAUGACUUAUUCAACUAUAAGUCA